CGAAUUUGAGAUGAAAGAAAUGGAGAAUAUCUUACAAGAAUUACACGAUAAACAAAAAAAGUGCGACACACCCGAACACGCGUUAACAAAUUUUAUUUUAAACGUGUCUUCAUUUAUAAACUGGUGUAAGCAGACCAAGCUCAAACAUCGAAAAUUACAAAUUCGCUUCAUUGAUCUCUUUGAGGAAUGUUCCAGCUGCGUCGUUCGUCUUUCGUUUAUCGCUCCAGGCAGGAUUUGCAUUAACCUUCAAAUUCAUUCAACGAGUGUUAAAAAAUACCUGCUUAAAAAACGGCAGAAACCCAGGCUGAGCUAGAGAAGGAGGAGACAAAGAGUGUGGAGAACGUAGCUCACAAUCGACAUCGGAAGAGGGACUACAUGGGUAUGCUGGAGUACAAGAAGGAGGAGGAGGCACCUGUAGUCAAGGCUCUUAUAGUUGACUUGACGCCUAAAGUGGCCACAUGUCUCCUGCCAGGCCUACCUGCCUACCUACUGUUCAUGUGUGUACGACACACUGACUUCGACAACGAUGAUGAGAAAGUCAAGUCUUUCCUGACCAGCACGAUAAAUGAAAUCAAGAAGGCCGUCAAGACACACUAUGCUGAUGUAGAGCGUGUGACCUUUUGGCUGGCCAACACCUGCCGGUUCCUGCACACCCUGAAGCAGUACAGCGGAGAGAAACAGUUCCAGACGAAGAAUACCCCGAGACAGAACGAGCACUGCUUGAGAAACUUUGACCUCUCUGAGUACAGACAGGUAUUCAGUGACCUAGCAGUGUGGAUAUAUCAGACGUUGAUCAAAAACAUGGAGGCUACCAUACAGCCGUCUAUAGUGCCUGCAGUUCUUGAACACGAGGCCAUUGCUGGAUUGACAGGCAGCAAACCUAGCGGUCUGAGAAGUAGAAGAUCCAGUAGAGCAGAGGAUACACCAGAAUACUCACUGGACAGUCUCAUGAAAUCUAUGAACCUGUUCUUGCGGGUGCUGACACAGCAGGACGUGGACCCUGAACUGAUCAAGCAGAUCUUCAGACAGGUCUACUACUUCCUGGGAGCCAGCGCCCUUAAUAACCUCCUGCUGAGGAAGGCCAUGUGCAAGUGGUCUAAGGGAAUGCAAAUCAGAUACAACCUGUCUCACAUGGAGCAGUGGUUGCGUGACAACAAGCUGCAGGAGUCCGGCGCUGGUGCCAGUUUAGACCCAAUCAUCCAGGCCUCCCAGCUGCUCCAAGCCCGCAAGACAGACUCAGACGUAGACAGCGUGUGUGAUAUGUGCUCCAAACUCACAGUACCACAGAUUGUUAAGAUUUUGAACCUCUACACGCCAGUAGACGAGUUUGAAGAACGUGUUCCGAUCUCGUUCAUUCGCAAGAUCCAGCAGAAGUUGAAGGAAAGGGAGAGCACUGAUACCUCGCUCCUCAUGGACCUCGAGUUUGCGUACUCUGUUACCUUCCCUUUCAACCCUUCCAGUAUCGCCCUAGAGACCAUUGAGGUGCCAGAACAGCUUAAUAUAGCAAAACUAGUUGUUAGGUGUUAGCUGCAGCCUGGGAACACUCCUUGGGCAACUUAUUCUUAUAUUAUUUUAUAUUCUGCCAAACGUCACAACAAACGUCACAACAUUGUAAAGUUUCUACAAAUGUUAUGUACCAAGGGGUAUGCAUUGAUAUGUUGUAUGGUGUAUUUUUAUGCCCCCCUUCGAAGACGAGGGGGUAUAUUGCUUUGCACAUGUCGGUCGGUCUGUCGGUCCGUCCACAAGGUGGUUUCCGGAUGAGAACUCAAGAAUGCUUGGGCCUAGGAUCAUGUAACUUAAUAGGAACAUUGAUCAUGAUUCGCAAAUAACCCCUAUUGAUUUUGUGGUCACAAGGUCAAAGGUCAAGGUCACUGUGACUCGAAAUGGUAAAAUGGUUUUGGGAUGGUAACUAAAGAACGCAUACGCGGCCAACAGGGCGAACUCUGAACAAUAUAACUGAAGCAACUGAUCUGUAAUCCUAAAUCUAUAAUUAUCAGUCCAAUGAAACAUCAUCAUUUGCGUAAAAUAAAGUGGAUCAUUAAAAAUAUUAUCAGAAUAUGAGAUUUUUGUGUAUAUUUUGUAUAUUAAAUAUUGUGUUAAUGUUUAAUUUUGUUGAUUAAUAUAAAUAUAAGCAGGAUAGGGGAGGUAAAACACUAUUAUAUCUUUCUUAUAUACAGGGGAAACAAAUGCAAUAAGUUUAAAUUUCAUGUUUAAUAAAUAGAGGAUAUUUGUUUAUGUCAGUGUGAGAUCAUUUGUUGUUAUUUUCAUUGUCCCUUAACAUAUUGCUUUUAUAUUUUGCAUACUUGUUUACCAUCAUCACCUCAACCUAUAAACAAGAGCAGACAACUCUAUCAAGCAUUUUGUCAUAAUUAUUGCCCCUUUUAUACUUAGAAUAUGCAUAUCUUUGAUAAAUCUAUGUUAAAGUUUGCGUACUACCCCAAAUAUUUCCUAUAUCCUUUGGCAUAUUGCUUUUAUAUGUUGCAUACUUGUUUACCAAAAUGACCCCAACCUAUAAACAAGAGCAGAUCACUGUAUCAAGCAUUUUGAAAUAAUUAUUGCCCCCUUUACACUUAGAUAAUUGAACAUUUUGCUUAAAUUGCCAUAACUUCUUUAUUUAUGAUCACAUUUUAUUUUUACUCUUUGACAAAACAACACUUACCUGAAUACCACAAUGGAUUCCACACAAACAAUACCCCACACCCCUACCAUCAUCUAAUAAAUUUCCACACCAAACAUUACACCCCUCUCUCACCCCCACCCCCACCCCCCCAAUUUCCAAUUAUUUUUUUAAACAUCUAAUAAAUUACC